rnacentral:lncRNA from 1 species
UGAAUAUAAGGCCAAAAUAAGUAGAUCGGAAAAUCAUGUUAUGGAGCUUCAAUUUGAAAAUGGUGUUCAAGCUGUCGCAGACCAAGGAGACUAGAAGAAACUAACCCAUGAAAAUGAGGCACUCAAAGCUCAGAUCAGAAAGAUGAAAAUAGCUGCAAAAAACCUAGAGAGAAGUUGGGCCGAUGAAAGACUUAUAAGCGGGCUACGAAAGGAAGUCCUCAAAUACCAAGAAGACUUGGAAAAGUCUGAUGCUAGCCAGGUAAAAUUACAUGAGCAGUGGGC